rnacentral:other from 1 species
UCAAUCCUGAUGUGUUCGUCUGAUAAAUUCGUUUUGACCGAACACUUUUAUAAACGGGAGCCCACAUAGGUUUUCAUAUUGCGUGCAAGCCCCGGGGCCGGGGAAGCAUAAUAAAUAUGGAACAGGGCACCCACCUGCCAGGAGCGGGAUCAAAACAAGAAGACAGACGGCACAAUUGGGAUUGAU